AUUGAACGCUGGCGGCAUGCUUUACACAUGCAAGUCGAACGGUAACAGGCCGCAAGGUGCUGACGAGUGGCGAACGGGUGAGUAAUGCAUCGGAACGUGCCCAGUCGUGGGGGAUAACGCAGCGAAAGCUGUGCUAAUACCGCAUACGAUCUAUGGAUGAAAGCGGGGGACCGUAAGGCCUCGCGCGAUUGGAGCGGCCGAUGUCAGAUUAGGUAGUUGGUGGGGUAAAGGCCUACCAAGCCGACGAUCUGGAGCUGGUCUGAGAGGACGACCAGCCACAUUGGGACUGAGAAACGGCCCAGACUCCUACGGGAGGCAGCAGUGGGGAAUGUUGGACAAUGGGCGCAAGCCUGAUCCAGCAAUGCCGCGUGCAGGAAGAAGGCCUUCGGGUUGUAAACUGCUUUUGUACGGAACGAAACGGUCUGGGUUAAUACCCUGGGCUAAUGACGGUACCGUAAGAAUAAGCACCGGCUAACUACGUGCCAGCAGCCGCGGUAA
rnacentral:rRNA from 1 species